ACGCUCGACACCUACGGGAGCAGCAGUAGGGAAUCUUCCACAAUGGGCGCAAGCCUGAUGGAGCAACACCGCGUGAGUGAAGAAGGGUUUCGGCUCGUAAAGCUCUGUUGUUGGAGAAGAACGUGCGUGAGAGUAACUGUUCACGCAGUGACGGUAUCCAACCAGAAAGUCACGGCUAACUACGUGCCAGCAGCCGUGGUAAUCUGAGCGGCUGGCAAGGC
rnacentral:rRNA from 1 species